rnacentral:rRNA from 1 species
UACAGGGGGUGCUAGCGUUGUUCGGAAUUACUGGGCGUAAAGGGCGCGUAGGCGGCCAUGUAAGUCAGGAGUGAAAUCCCGGAGCUUAACUUCGGAAUUGCUUUUGAAACUACAUGGCCAGAGUGAGUUAGAGGAUGGCGGAAUUCCUAGUGUAGUGGUGAAAUACGUAGAUAUUAGGAAGAACACCGGUGGCGAAGGCGGCCAUCUGGGACUCAACUGACGCUGAGGCGCGAAAGCGUGGGGAUCAAACAGG